GACGAACGCUGGCGGCGUGCCUAACACAUGCAAGUCGAACGGACAGGCCCUGCUUUUGUGGGGUGCUCGAGUGGCGAACGGGGGAGUAACACGUGAGUAACCUGCCCUUGACUGUGGGAUAACUUCAGGAAACUGGGGCUAAUACCGGAUAGGAGCUCCUGCUGCGUGGUGGGGGUUGGAAAGUUUCGGCGGUUGGGGAUGGACUCGCGGCUUAUCCGCUUGUUGGUGGGGUAGUGGCUUACCAAGGCUGUGACGGGUAGCCGGCCUGGGAGGGUGACCGGCCACCUUGCGACUGCGGUACGGCCCAGACUCCUACGGGCGGCAGCAGUGGGGAACAUUGCACAGUGGGCGGACGCGUGAUGCAGCAGCGCCGCGUGCGGGAUGACGGCCUUCGGGUUGUAAACCACUUUCGCCUGUGACGAAGCGUGAGUGACGGUAAUGGGUAAAGAAGCACCGGCUAACUACGUG
rnacentral:rRNA from 1 species